CCAAUAGCGUAUAUUAAAGUUGUUGCAGUUAAAAAGCUCGUAGUUGAAUUUCGGGGUUAGUAGGUUGGUCAUGCCACUGGUAUGUACUGGCCUUACUGAUUCCUCCUUCUUGAUGAACCGUAAUGUCAUUAAUUUGGUGUUGCGGGGAAUCAGGACUGUUACUUUGAAAAAAUUAGAGUGUUUAAAGCAAGCUAACGCUUGAAUACAUUAGCAUGGAAUAAUGAAAUAGGACGUUUGAUCCUAUUUUGUUGGUUUCUAGGAUUGACGUAAUGAUUAAUAGGGAUAGUUGGGGGCAUUAGUAUUCAAUUGUCAGAGGUGAAAUUCUUGGAUUUAUUGAAGACUAACUACUGCGAAAGCAUUUGCCAAGGAUGUUUUCAUUAAUCAAGAACGAAAGUUAGGGGAUCGAAGACGAUCAGAUACCGUCGUAGUCUUAACCAUAAACUAUGCCGACUAGGGAUCGGAUGAUGUUAAUUUUUUAAUGACUCAUUCGGCGCCUUACG
rnacentral:rRNA from 1 species